UUUUUGGAAUGCUUUUUCACGGGGUCCACCAUGCUGGAAAGAUGAUCCAUGGACUCAUCCAUGGCGGUUACGACGAGCAGCAGGAGCUCGACAAGCGCUCAGUCGAUGACAACCCCGGUG